rnacentral:rRNA from 1 species
UACAGAGGUCCCAAGCGUUGUUCGGAUUCACUGGGCGUAAAGGGUGCGUAGGUGGCAGGGUAAGUUUGAUGUGGAAUCUCCGAGCUUAACUCGGAAACUGCAUUGAAUACUAUCCUGCUUGAGGGUUGGAGGGGGGACUGGAAUUCUCGGUGUAGCAGUGAAAUGCGUAGAUAUCAGGAGGAACACCUAUUGCGAAGGCAGCUCGCUGGGACGUUACUGACGCUGAGACGCGAAAGCGUGGGGAGCAAACAGG